ACAUUUCUUUCCCUCUCUUCACUAGUGAACCCCACCGACAAACUCCUCUCUGCCUAACCCUUCCACAUUGCCUAAAUGCCUUUGUGUUUUCUCCCCUUCGCAUUUUCCUUCCUGAACCUAAACGCCUAAACGCCUUCCUAAACCUUAAUCGACAAAAUACAUCUCUGUCAAACCCUAAGCCUUUCGUCGUGUAGCGCUGGCACAGUCCUCCACCAUUACUGGCAAGCCCCUCUCCCUCCUUUGCUCCUCCCUCGCUUGACAGCGCCACUAGACCAGCUGCUUCCUCUCCGAGUACGCUGCUCUAUCCUAGGGCCUCCCUCCGUCGCCCACCUCUGAUCCCCUUGUACAUGGCAAUGGAUUCAUCCCUGAGACAUGGCCUUCUAAUGACGCUGAGCAAUCUUCAACGUCAACAAGUGCUAGAGCUCAAAGAAGACAAGUGUCGCCUAAAAUAUACUAUGCCUCGAGGACUCACUCUGCGAUAACUUAGGUGAUUUGUAAAUACAGGAAGACAUCUUAUCAAGUGCCAAUUGCAGUGUUGGUUAGUGAAUUUCCUCGUGUUUGAACAUACAUCUGAAAUAUUGUAUUAUGAGAUAUUGGAUAUUCCUCUUCCUGAAUUGCAAGGUUUAAAAACUCUAAAACUAGCAUUCCACCAUGCCACAAAAGAGGAGGUUGGGUUGAUCCUUCUAUUCUUUAUAUAUUCUUGUUUUGUGAAAUUUUCUUAUAACUUAGAUGUUUUAUUUUUAGGUGGCAAUUCACAGCAUUCUACUUCCAAAAGAUAGCACUGUGGCAUGAAGCCAAUAUUUUCUACAUACACUUAGAAUUCCUCUCUUGUUUAGUUGUUUGGCAUUUUAACCUUCAUCUUACUUUUUAUCAAUGCAUAUCUUUCUUCCUGGUGAGAAGAUUGAGAACAUUAAUGAUCAGUACUGUACUUUGCGUGCAGAGGAGGUGAGUUUGUAUUGGGGAUAUUUUUACAUUUAUCUAAAAUUUAUUAUUUACAUGCUCUAUUGUGUUGUUUCAUCUCUGUUAGGAGACCUAUCAUUUUCAAGGUAAUCUUGUGCGAUUUUGUGUCAAAUAUUGUGAUUUAAUGGUAUCUUAUGAUUGAUUGGAUUUGGGUAUUCUCCUUGCAUAUCCCAGAAAAAGAGAAAAACAUUGGGCCUCACGAUCACUUGAUUCAUGUUUACCAUUUUAAUAGAGAUCCUAAUCAGAAACAAAUGGCGAGUAUAAUGUGUUUGACUUGUGCUAUUUUUUGGAGCUUUAAAUAAAAUAGAUGCAUUUAUCUUUUGGUAAUAAUUAUCAUCUGGUAUAUUUUAUAUUCUCUGCCAACAAAUUCUUGUGUGAUUUCUUUUUUACCUAUACUGAAACUUUUUCCCAUUCUUACUUAAUUGCCUUCUGUAGAUGUCCACAUGCUUUACUCUCUAUGCACUGACAGAGACAUAUUUCCAAUUGCUUUAUUAUAUACGAUAAAGGAUUGUCCUAAAAACUAGAGUGUCUAGCUAAUUGCAUUAUUAUACAGAUCCAUGAUUACUUUUUACCUCUCUAUAUAUCUUGUGAAGACAAACUUCCCUGAGAACUUCACAUUUUUUGUUUUUUUUUGCAGCAAGUUCAGGAUCAUUAGUCAUUAAGGAAGGUGAAACUUUAACCAAUGUCAAGAUACACAUUCAUAAGAAACUGCAAGUUCCAGAUGAUGAAUUUUCAAAGUGGCUCCAACAUGCUGGAAUUACACAACAAUGUUUCCCAAUCUUGCAAGAAUGUGCAACGAAGGUGCUUUUAUGUUAACUAGUGUGCUCUAUAUCUUGGUUGUCAUUCAAGCUUAGCAACACCUAUUUAUAUGCUAUCAUUGUCGCAUUAGGCAAUUAAAGCUGCCUCAAAUGCAGAGUCCAUUGAAAGUCAUUUAUGUGGCAUGUUAGCAAUUGCAUUGGAGGGUAAUGUAUAGUGCAUGUUUUAUAUAGAUUUGCUCCAAAUCAAAACUUGUGGUCUUCUUAAUUUUCUCUGUAACAUGCAUGCAUAUUUUCCUUGCUUACUUAUCUCUUCUUAGGAGAUAAUACUAAUGCAACUGAUUAUAUAUAUUACAAUCUUGAAAUUUAGCCUAAUUAAACAUCAAUUA